CAGCCGCCGCGGUAAUACGUAGGGCGCAAGCGUUAUCCGGAAUUAUUGGGCGUAAAGAGCUCGUAGGCGGUUUGUCGCGUCUGCCGUGAAAGUCCGGGGCUCAACCCCGGAUCUGCGGCGGGUACGGGCAGACUAGAGUGAUGUAGGGGAGACUGGAAUUCCUGGUGUAGCGGUGGAAUGCGCAGAUAUCAGGAGGAACACCGAUGGCGAAGGCAGGUCUCUGGGCCGCAACUGACGCUGAGGAGCGAAAGCAUGGGGAGCGAACAGGAUUAGAUACCCGUGUAGUCCCUGUCUCUUAUAC
rnacentral:rRNA from 1 species